GCCGUGAUCAUCCAUCCAAAUGGUUGAUCACCCACAAAUAUAGAAGAGAAGACUCCAGAUCCAAUCCCAGAAUUCCUGCUCACCUGUAAUCGGAAGUCUACUGGACUAAAGCGGCAGCGUUGCGAUAUUUGCUGCUUAAUAUUUUCAGAUAUGGGAAAAGCACUUAAGAUGACCACACGUUUCAGGAACGUUAAAAUUAAGUUGGUGAGGAGGUCUAUGGUGGGCCCUGCAAGUUUUCUUACCUCAGUCAAGGUCUUCCCCAGCCCAGCUACAAUCAGACCCACCCUUCAGACGCUUCUAUUACAUCUCAACCUGCUGAACCUGAUGAUGUGACACAGAGCUGUUCUGAGAGUGCAUACAGUAAGGCAAAGAAGAGAGAGCUUCAUGCCUGGGAUGCAGUCAAGGAUGAGAUGCUUAAGGUGUCGUUUGAAUGUUCAGCACCGAUCACUACCCAGUGUGCUGUCUGCCGAGAACAUGCUGAUUAUAGGUGCAUUGAGUGCAGCUCCACUGCAGUGUUCUGUGAGGUUUGCCUGAAGAGGAUUCACAGAAAUUCACUGCAUCUUCCUGAAAAGUGGAAUAAUGUUUACUAUGAGCCAUCGUCCCUGGGAUUAUUCCUAUAUUUACCUGAAGCCCAUGGCACCCAUGCUGUUUACACAAAGGACAUGAAGAUCAUUGUCAGCACAGGACGGCUCUGCACCGUUACAGUCACCAUGUGUGCGUGUGAACCAGAAACCUGCACUCUGCUAAGGUUUGGGCUCCGGCCAGCAACAGCCGACAAGCCCAAGACAGCCUUCUCCAUCCCUCUGCUAGAGCUUUCUGUUUCUCUGUCACUGGAGUGUCUGGUUUCUGUUGAGGGUUUUUGCAACACCCCAUAUCCCAUUUUAGGCAUCACCACUUCCGACAAAGAAGUUUGGUUGAUAUUUGCCCACAAUUAAAUGAUGGCACCAUAUGCCCAGCAUGUCCAAAGGCGGAUGGAGAUAUGAUUGUCACAUUGGAUGCCAACUUUGGCCUUGUGAGGAAUCAAAGCUCUGGGACAAGUGCGGUUGAUCCAUUACACAGAACCCACGUGUUUGUUGAUGAAAAGGAUGUAGAGGAAUACCUGCUAUCACAUCUUGACAGCUCAAAGCCUCGAGGUUAAUCAUUGUUGCAGAAUUUCAUUCGAGUCCAUGAAAUAUUAAUUAAACUUGUGAAAAAAGAUCACUAUUCCUCUCAUAAAUCUAUGUUUUCCUUAAAUAUUUAGGACUGCAGUAAGCUGCUCUCAUUCAAGGUAUUAUAAUAUAAUAUAAUAUAAUUACUUUACUGCGUUACUUGUGCAGACAUGUUGUUUUACUAGGUCUGAUCUAUUUAAGCUUAGGCACUGUAUUUAAGCAUACAUAUCCCCACUAGUCUGUCUGUAUGAGUACAAAAUUAAAAAAUAAACUGUCUAUAAUUGUUACUGUACAAGCACAGUAAAAUAUUUAUAUAAAA